rnacentral:lncRNA from 1 species
AAUAAUCAAAACGAUUCCACCCUAGUAUGAUAAUGACAGCAUAACAGUUAGAACUAUUGAACCUUAUAACGUUAGCGUUAUCGGUAUGAUCUCUAAUACGGGUUUGAGAACAUUGGAUGAUAGAGGGCAACUAGCAAAUCCACAUGCUCGAGAUCAGCUGAAGACAUAUACCACACUGUCGCUUACAUUAGAACUUCCAUCAUAUCCAAAGAUUACUACCUCUUAUGAAUAUCCACCUGAAUUGAAGCUAAAGUCGUUGCUCCCUCAUCGCAAUCCACAUAGUACCUGCUAGCUGCUAGUGAUAAUUAGUGAUGCACUCCCACUUAAAUAUUUUUAUUUUAAAAAACACUCCACCCCCUAACUUUCCCAUAUUCUCUAUAUAACACAUUACUCUUAUCAUCUUCUCGCAUCUUAAACUAUAUUAUAGCAGUUUGUGGAGUUGUUGCCACAUGAGUCUGGAUUUCAUGUUGUGCCAACAUAAGUUUUUGUUGUCACAUAAACAUUAAUCUUAAUUAUCUAUUUAUUUAAUUAAUUAUAAUUUAUAUUUAAUGGUCUACAUUAGUUAAAUUUUAAAUUAUUUUAUAAAGUUAAAUUAAAUUAAGUAAUAAACAUAUUGCAAUUAUUUUUAUCUCCCAUUUUUCCGAGUCUCUUUCUUCUUGUACUUACAUAUUUAAAGUGUAAUUAAUCACAAUCACUCACAAAAAACAACACCAAAAGAAAUUAAUUAGAAAACAUAAUAAUAUGUACCUGUAAUCACUAACAAGUAUUGGACAUGA